rnacentral:lncRNA from 1 species
AUUUAGUUUCUUGCUUUAGGAAGCGGAAGACUAAUGACCGAAGCUUCAAGACUUUGACAUGUGUGAAAACAUGAAAUGACCCUUGGCUCUUAUUGUUCUUGCUGGUGUGGUAUGUUCACGGCUGAAAAGAUGGUCAGAAGGGGAAAGGAGGAAGUGAGAAGAAAGAAACAGGGAAAUGACAGAGUGUUGCUCAGUUACCCAGGCUGGAGUGCAAUGGCAUGAUCUUGGCUCACUGCAGCCUCCACCUCCUGGGUUCAAGCGGUUCUCGUGCCUCAGUCUCCCAAGUAGCUGGGAUUACAGCAGGCUGAGGAAUUACCAAGGAGGCAGGAGGUGGAGCAAAACACACCAAGCCUGGUGCCAAUCAUUGACAAUAUUAUGGAACUGACUCAGCGCAAGAAGACAGCUUCGACUCCUUGUGAUUUCAUCCCUAACCAAUCAGCACUCCUGGCUCACUGGCUUCCCCCAACCCACCAAAUUGUCCUUAAAAACUCUGCUCUCCAAACGCUGGGGGAGACUGAUUUGAGUAAUAAUAAAACCCUGGUCUCCUGCA